rnacentral:rRNA from 1 species
UACGUAGGGUGCAAGCGUUAAUCGGAAUUACUGGGCGUAAAGCGUGCGCAGGCGGUUUUGUAAGUCAGAUGUGAAAAUCCCCCGGGCUUAACCUGGGAACUGCGUUUGAAACUACAAGGCUAGAGUGUGACAGAGGGGGGGUGGAAUUCCACGUGUAGCAGUGAAAUGCGUAGAGAUGUGGAGGAACACCGAUGGCGAAGGCAGCCCCCUGGGUUAACACUGACGCUCAGGCACGAAAGCGUGGGGAGCAAACAGG